AAUCAAACAACAUUUUAAACAUGGGUGAAAGUUGCAUAUUAUGAAACUAGACAAAAUUCUAAGCAUAUUUCAUAUAUUAAGUUUUUCAAUCCGAUGCACGGUUGUGGAAUUAUUAAAGGCAUGAUCAACAAGGGUUUUUCUAUAAAACUGAAAUACUCUGGAUAAUUGGACAAAUUCACAGAACGAGAAAAAAAAAACAUGAUCGGGCUGAAUCUGGGACAAGCCCAACAGCAGGAAGGAAAAAAAAGGUGGGGCGCUGGGUGGCCUCACCCAUGGGCCUUGGCCCAUCUUCAGAGCAGCCGGCUAGGGACAGCGGGGCUGGGCCUCCCAGGCCGAUCGAAGCAGGGGGGCGCUGAGCCUGGUGCGUCGCGGUCAACAGGAGCGGCACACGUUCGUCCUCGCGUGGUCGAAGAAGAAGGGGCCGGGGCGAAGCAGAAUCAACGUGGCAGGCGCCGA